rnacentral:rRNA from 1 species
GACGAACGCUGGCGGCGUGCUUAACACAUGCAAGUCGAACGAGACGAUUGAAAGCUUGCUUUCGAAAGUCGAGUGGCAAACGGGUGAGUAACGCGUAGACAACCUGCCUUUGAGAUGGGGACAACAGUUCGAAAGGACUGCUAAUACCGAAUGUUGUAUAUUUUCCACAUGGAAGAUAUAUUAAAGAUGGCCUCUAUUUAUAAGCUAUCGCUCAAAGAUGGGUCUGCGUCUGAUUAGCUAGUUGGUGGGGUAACGGCCUACCAAGGCGACGAUCAGGAGCCGGUCUGAGAGGAUGAACGGCCACAUUGGGACUGAGAAACGGCCCAGACUCCUACGGGAGGCAGCAGUGGGGAAUCUUCCACAAUGGACGAAAGUCUGAUGGAGCAACGCCGCGUGAGUGAAGAAGGGUUUCGGCUCGUAAAGCUCUGUUGUCGGGGACGAAUGUGCAUUACUUGAAUAAAGUAGUGUAAUGACGGUACCUGACGAGGAAGCCACGGCUAACUACGUGCCAGCAGCCGCCGUAA